ACGGUCCAAUUAAAUUUUUUUUAAAAAAAUCCAACAGUAACCGGGCUGCUAACGGGCUACAGCCCGUGUUUAGCCUGUUAAGACAAUUCGGGUUCAAGGGGUCAGGGCCACCGUUAAGCUAAACGUGAACGUCCAUAACCCGCCCCCUAAAAUAUUUGUCCCAACCAGUCCAUUAAUGAACAGUAGUGGGCUGAACCGGGCUGACCCAGGUUGAAGCGGGUUGAAAACGGGUCAGCCCGACCUGAUUAACACCCUUACUGUAUAGAUAUUAUCCGGUAUUUUAAAAAAAAAUUGCAAGUGGCUAUAAUCAAACUCUUACUUUUCCCUUAUUCUGUGAAAUCAGUGCAAUGUAGUGUUAUUAUUGAAUUAUAGUCACUCACUUUUUGUUAUUCAAAAGCUUGUAUGUUUUAGUUGAUAGGUUCUUUCUUUGAGCUUUUCCUUUUCCUAAAUACCAUGGUAUUGAUUAUGACUUUACACCCAACUAGAAGCAAAAACCUUUUGCCUGGACAUUUGUUGGAACAUCGGUCACCAAUGUAAAGGAGUAUGGUGAAGAAUUUGAAUCAAUUUCAGCCAUGUUCUAUAGGAUUUUGUGGUCUAAAUUGCAUUUGUCCUGCUACCUAUGAUAAGAAAAGGGUGAUUUCUGAACUACGUCUAAUAGAACCAGUCAGAAACUACAAGAAAUUGUUAUUUGAUGUCUUUCAUUCUCUCUUUGCUUUGUAGUACGAAUUCAAUAGAAUGAGCUUUCCAGAUCCUUUCGACCAAAUUCCUGGCAGAGCGACAUGUGCAUACAACCACAGUCAGGUGACAAUAUCUUCUAUUGUAAUGUCCUAGAUUUGUAGCCAGUAUACUCCUAGAACCUAUUUUUGUGUUUGCUUAACUCUAGGGCGUCAAAGGAUUACGUGAUACAAUUGGUUCUGGUGUCAAUAAUGUUGGUUCUUCAUCCUUUAUUCGGGUUCACAUGAUGAUGCAGUCGUUCAUAGAAUGAUAGAACUCUCUGUCCCAUCCCCCAAUAUCCAUUUUAUUCCGCUUCAAUUUCCCUCCAUGGUGGCACUCUCGUACGUGCAUUUGCUUCAAUUUAAAGUCGAUCAGUGCCAGUUAUAUAGUUGGCCUUCAUAGGCUAGAUUAACCUACUUCUGGAAGAGAUUAUUAUAAGCGUUUAUUAAUGAGAGCUGGCAUGAUUGGCUUACUAUUUAGUUGAAGAUGACACGGGAGCCUCUUAUGUAUGCUUUUAUCUGGUAUUUUAGGUUCCCUAUUAUCUUGAUGAAGAAAUAUGAUGGGGACUAGGGAUCUCAGAGCUUGAGAAUCAGCUGAAAGCUGCAAAAUCUAAGGGUAUUAAAGUUAGGGCUUUGGUUGUGAUUAAUCCAGGAAACCCAACGGGGUUCUUGCUGAGACCAACCAACGAGCUAUUGUGGAAUUCUGCAAGAAAGAAGGCCUCGUUCUUUUGGCGGACGAAGUGUAUCAGGAAAAUAUUUAUGUGCCUGAAAAGCAGUUCCACUCAUUUAAGAAAAUUGCUCGGUCUAUGAGAUUUGGAGAAAAAGACAUCUCUUUAGUUUCUUUUCAGUUUGUAUCAAAAGUUACAGGUAUUGGAAGGCAGAGUUACUAAAGGGAAUAAAGAAAAUGCAAAUGGGGAACUUAAGGCUUACAAACCUUCAGAAAUUUCUAUGGGUUUGAACAAGAAAACCUCACACGCUGAUUAGAUUAAUGGUGUGGUCAAGCUUACAGAAAUGGAUCAGUUACAAAAUCAGGAGAUGAUGUGAAAGAUGUUAAACGAGGCAUGUAUUAGAAAAGAAACUUGUAGCUAAGGAUAUAUCAAAUGGGGUUUCUAAUAAAUGCUAAUUUAAAUUGAUUAAUAUGUGUAAAGUGUUAUCACGAUACAUAAUUUUAUUUUAUUUUUAGUUUAUUGUUAGGUUGCACCUUUGAACAGUUGGUGCUACUAGUUAAUGUAGUACAUGAU